rnacentral:rRNA from 1 species
CCUACGGGAGGCAGCAGUAGGGAAUCUUCCACAAUGGGCGAAAGCCUGAUGGAGCAACGCCGCGUGGGUGAAGAAGGUCUUCGGAUCGUAAAACCCUGUUGUUAGAGAAGAAAGUGCGUGAGAGUAACUGUUCACGUUUCGACGGUAUCUAACCAGAAAGCCACGGCUAACUACGUGCCAGCAGCCGCGGUAAUACGUAGGUGGCAAGCGUUAUCCGGAUUUAUUGGGCGUAAAGGGAACGCAGGCGGUCUUUUAAGUCUGAUGUGAAAGCCUUCGGCUUAACCGGAGUAGUGCAUUGGAAACUGGGAGACUGGAGUGCAGAAGAGGAGAGUGGAACUCCAUGUGUAGUGGUGAAAUGCGUAGAUAUAUGGAAGAACACCAGUGGCGAAAGCGGCGCUCUGGUCUGUAACUGACGCUGAGGUUCGAAAGCGUGGGUAGCAAACAGGAUUAGAUACCCGAGUAGUC